CUGGCCAAGCUGCUGCCGGAGCACGUUGACAAGAUUGUCGAGGUGACAGACUCGCUGGUGAGGCAGCCUAAAGUCGAUGGAUGGAUUUUUGCGGCGCAGGAUCAUGCGCUGCGUCAGAUACUCAUCGCGGGCAAAAAUAGCGACGAACCUAAAACCGCGGUGGCCGUGAAGGAUAUCGUGAGCUACCUGGCUUCGCGCGGGAAU
rnacentral:misc_RNA from 1 species